UACGGAGGGUGCAAGCGUUAAUCGGAAUUACUGGGCGUAAAGCGCGCGUAGGCGGUUAAAUAAGUCAGAUGUGAAAUCCCUGGGCUCAACCUAGGAACUGCAUUUGAAACUGUUUAACUAGAGUAUGGUAGAGGUGAGUGGAAUUUCAGGUGUAGCGGUGAAAUGCGUAGAGAUCUGAAGGAACAUCAGUGGCGAAGGCGACUCACUGGGCCAUUACUGACGCUGAGGUGCGAAAGCGUGGGUAGCAAACAGG
rnacentral:rRNA from 1 species